GACGAACCGUGCGAACGUUAUUCGGAAUCACUGGGCUUAAAGCGCGUGUAGGCGGAUGGGCGCGUCGGACGCUGAAAUCCCCCGGCUCAACCGGGGAAGGGGCUCCGAAACGGCCCGUCUGGAGGGGGGUAGGGGGCGCUGGAACUCACGGUGGAGCGGUGAAAUGCGUUGAGAUCGUGAGGAACGCCCGCGGCGAAAGCGAGCGCCUGGACUCUUUCUGACGCUGAGACGCGAAAGCCAGGGGAGCGAACGGG
rnacentral:rRNA from 1 species